UCGAUCAAAACAAACAUUCAUUCCUUGAAUUUGUUCGUCUUCUUUUUCGAAAACGAAUGAAUUUGUCAAUGUAAAGCAUUGGCGGGUGCGGUUUGCCGUACUAUAUGACUUGAAUUCGCUAACGGCUUGGCUUGGCUUCUGUGGAAGGUUGAGCGGUUGUGUCACACGUCCGUGGCCGCGUAUGAAACCGACCGGUAACUUGACGUUCGUCUAAACAACGGGCUUGUCGAGUGAGAAUCAAUGACCCCGAGAGGGCGCCAAGCAAACACCCAUUUCAUUUCAUUUUUUAUUAUUCAAAGUAACAUU
rnacentral:misc_RNA from 1 species